GCUGGGCGCGGUGGCGCGUGCCUGUAGUCUCAGCUACUCGGGAGGCUGAGGUGGGAGGAUCGCUUGAGCCCAGGAGUUCUGGGCUGUAUAAGCUAUGCCGAUCGGGUGUCCGCACUAAGUUCGGCAUCAGUAUGGAGACCUCCCGGGAGCCGGGGACCACCAGGUUGCCUAAGGAGGGGUGAACCGGCCCAGGUCGGAAACGGAGCAGGUCAAAACUCCGGUGCUGAUCAGUGGUGGGAUCGCGCCUGUGAAUAGCCACAGCACUCCAGCCUGGGCAACAUAGCAUGACUAUGUCUCA
rnacentral:SRP_RNA from 1 species